UUAUACUUGUUAUCUACCCAAAUAGAAGAUGACCUGGCCUGAACUUAAGAUGACUCCCUUAUUAACAGAGGUUAGAUACAGACUAUACCUGUAUUUACCCAAAAAGAAGAGCACUCUGUAUUUAAGAUGACCUCCCAGUUUCUAACAUGAAAGAACUUGGAAAGAAAACCUAAUCUUGGAUUCAGAUAUGCUACUGUGCCCUGUGGUCAGUUGCUUAUGCAAAUCGAAAGAGUCUCUGCAGCUGUUGUUUUGUCCUGGCGGUCACACACUCCCUGACUUCAACCACUCCAAAAAGAUAUAUAUCCUAAAGGAGAAAACCAGAUGUGUUGGACACUUUACACAAAGAAAGAAGAAGAAAGCAACAGAUUUCAGCGAAACCAGAUUCUAUACUGGGAGUGAGAAAUAGUAUCAUAAAAUCAGAUGUGAUGCUAAGGAGAAAGGAAGCUCUGAUCUGGGCAAUGGAAUCCAGUUGCUUAUCUCCAUCCUAUUACCAAGGCUGCAUCCCUGGGAGAGUUUAUUGUCUGGCAAAAAACCCAACAACCCACAAGUAGAUAUCAAUAAAAUUCCAAAGGGCAGUAAUAGAAUCAUAGUGUUGAAGAGAGAGCGAGUAUUCAGCAAGCCAUCUCAUCUGCCAUCUUGUUUUUGAACAGCAUAUUCUGGAUCUAAGGACUUCCUGUUAAAUGCUUUCCUAAGUUUUCCUUGAACAUUUCAAGGCAGUGCUGACAUCUUUACACCUGAGGUCAACACAAUCUCAGUGUUGCUCCCCAUUUUCUUAGAAAUGAUGACUUCUCUAAAAGUCGCUGCCCUAGAGCUGGCCUUGCUCUGAGGAGGUAGGUUCUGCACCUUCAAAACCUUUCCUUACUUUCUUUAUUUCCAUCCCCUAAGUACAGAACGUCACCUAAAACAAACCAUCAUGUGAAUUGUGUUUUGAAAUUCAAACAAUGAUACAUAGCACUGUGGGGUAGGAGUUUAUUUCAUCUGGCUUUCCACCCCCAUUCCCUUCUCGAUUGGGAGAGGGACUCUGGCUAUGACUUUUGUGUACUUCUCCCUUCAGCUGCUAUCUGUUGUUUUGCUCAGUCUUAAUUGCUUAAUUGCACCUGGGCCAAGUUUGCCUGAUAGGGUGGGUGAGAGCCAUGCCUCUUGGCCUUUUGAACUUUGGGAAAUGAAACACACACAAAAAGAGAAGUUCCUAGUCAACAUUGCAAUAUAUCAAUAGUAGGAGAAUAUACAUAUAAGUGAGGAAUAAACAUACAUUGUACAAAUAUCCCAAUAGGUCAUAACACAAAAUUCAAAAUGCUGAAACAGACAAAAGCUGAGCAAUCUGAAGAAACUCAAUGGGUGAAGACGCAGUUAUUUGAAUGGUGGAAGAGACAAAUGGCUGAGACUUGAAGCACUAGUGAAAGGUUUUGAAUGCCUCCUCAAUCAGAGAUGUGUCUCUUGGUCUCUAAAUACUUUGAAAUAAAUUCUUGAAAUAAAGGAUACAGAAUAAUAACAUACUUUAAAAUCCAAAAGUUCAAAAAUGAAGUGAUGAAUAAUCUUUUUACCAACACUGACUCUGUUAUCUAUUGAAGGAGCAGAGCUCAAAAAUGUCUUGUACCUCCAAUGGCUCUCAUCUGUCUGAUACUAAGAAACAAAAUGAAUAUAUGAAAUAAACC